GAUGUGGGCGUUGCUGGUUAGGCCAGCUCAUCCCCAGUUGCCUUUGUUCGGGGGCAUUUAAGCAUCAACCACAAUGCUGUGGAUUUGGAGUCACUUGUAGGCCAGACCAGCUCACCCAGCAGUAGAUAAGCGGGCAACCAUGUCCGUGAGCAAAGCAAUCCGACAGAAGGAACAUAACAUACCUGAAGGGGAAAAAAAUUGAAGGAAGUUGGAGAAAGAGCAGAUGUGCUGGCAACUCUUCAACCACACCAAAUUUUUCACAUGUGGGUCUGGAUCACAAUUAUCAUCAGGAUGUUCAAUCAUGUGGGAUAUCACAAUGAACUCUAGCCCCAUCCUUGCCCAAUGCCAACACAGAAAGACCAUUUCAGCAGGACAGCAAUCAGCAACAGGCACUUGGACCUGUUAUUUUGUUAACCCUUCACAAUCAAGGACACUGAGAGGCCACUUGUAAUGCCCGCCUCAAAUAUCUUAUGAGGUCAGUUAACAUGAUACAGACCACUGCUCAGUAUUAAUCCUUCCUAUUCCUUUAUGAGCUAUCAGGGAGCCCAACGCACACUUAAAUUGACCAAAACCAGCCGUGGAAUGGAAAUUAGACAGAGUUUUGAUUUUGAUAGCCUUUGUGGUUCCAUGCCUGCCAAGUUUUGGAACAGAGCAGAAAAAUAUCUUCAACUUCAGCAGCAAAGAAUACUACUUCAAGCAAUUCCUGAGUGAUUACUUCAGUUGCCACUUACUGAACAGUUUUAUUGGUUGUGCAGCAACAAAAAUUGACCAACUUUUUAAGAAUCCAAGCACCAUUUUUGCACAAAAUGAUUCUUAGACAAAUGUCCCAUUACAAGUUCAUGGGCAGCUGCAAAAUGCAUUGUGAUGAUUUUAUCAUGAGGUUAUGCCCCUUUACCUUUGAAAACAUAAUUUUUCAACUUUCAACUGACUGGAUAUUUUGCAACUUGAACUGAGACAGAGCAAACUUCGUAAAAAUGCAAGGCCACAUUUCAAGGUGAAGGUGAGUAACAAGCAAAUCACCCUCAGGGAAGUGUGACAAGAAAGACACCCAUCGAAACAGUCUAAGGAAGUGGCAUUAAAAAUGCAAAACACUGGAUAUUGAAACAAUGGUUGCCUCAGGCAAACAUACCCAAAGCCUCUUGGAAACACACAAUGCAUGAAGUAUUUCAAGACAAGCUGCCCAGCUACUAAAGAGAGAUUGCAAGUGACACAGGUGGUGUCAAGAAAGUCUUCAGCAGAGGAUACAGGUUGAAGGCCUGACGGCUGCUCUCUCUCUCUGUUUUGGAAUAAGUGUGUCGCCUGGUUCAAGAAGUCAACUCUGCCAGAAAUCUACCACCAAACCGAGAUCUUAUAAUAAUUGCAACAUCUUCUACAUCUGACUGCAUCCAAGAAACCAGCUAACCCAAAUCAGCCUCAGCCAAAGGGUUUAAAACACUGCACCUCAAGGACGAAAGGACCAUAUAUAUUUUUUAUCUAUUUUAUUGGACUCUAACUCCCCUUUGAAUGUGUCAGUGUGUGUGUGUGGGCCUGAAAGACUAUGUGAGGACCGGAUACUCGAUGUUGCGUUUUUAUUAUUCUUCUCAGAUUUAGUGGUUAAUAAACUUGCUUUUUCUUCGACUCAAGAAAGCCUUGUUUGAUUGGCUUCUUACAGCUCACAGCUUAAAUAGUUAAAUACAUUCUGAUUCGGAAAAGGCAUAUCCUAGUGAAAAAGGAACUUAAACCUUUGUUGUGACCAACCGAGGAGGUUGAAUAGAAGGGAGCCAGUUCACCCCUUCUCACCUGAUCAUAACAGUUCUUAGCAGAUCUAGGCACUUUUGAGAAUAUUGUGGAUCCCCUAGUAGGACCACGAUGAAAGGUUUGUGAAGGUCUACUGAAGAAAUGGUGAACUCUUUUGUAGUUCCACUUAUUUGCUCUAUUUCCACUUCAAUAGGCAGUAAGAAUAAGCCGAUUGUACCAAAAAUCAUUUUUGCAGAUGUUUAUGAUUGAAAACAUGCACAUAUUUUAAAAAUUGGAGAAGUCUGUCAGCACUUGAAGGGCAAAUUUCUCAUUGAUUGCUACCAUUUCAAGUUUGUCCUUGAAUGUCCAAAUACCCUCAUCUAUAUUAGAUUGCUCUAGAAAUUACAAUAAAAAUGGCAGCUUUUACCCUUGGCUCCUAUCUAGUAAGUAAUCAUAGCUGUAUUUUAAAUAAAUGCUCCAAAGCCUGUAUGGAAUAAGGUUCACAAAAUUGCACUAAUAUAAGAUAAUGUACUGUUGGCAGAGAGAUCCCUGCUUCACUUAAUGAGUGGAAAGACUCAAAGUCAAUGUUUCAGCUGUAGGGUUGCUUUGAACUAGUCCUUCAGUCUCCACUGUUAAUGUUUUGCUGCCUACUGCUUGGUUUUAUUAUGUGUCUACUUCAUGAACCAGUAAAUUAGCACCAAGAGGGCAUAAUAAUGUCACCCAUGAACUCUGCACUCCAUUAUAUUUAUUAUCAACAUUCAUUUCAAUCUCAGAGAGACCUGCAAAAGUAGUUCUUGCUGGAUUUUUGUUUACCAAAAUGGAUGUUCCUCUAUGAUCAGGAAAAAGGUUACUUGAAAGUUUGUGAUAAUAAUUAUGCAUUUAAUAAAAGUACAGCUUUCAC